GGGGCGGAUCCAGCCAUUUUAAAAAGGGCGGUUCCUAACACAGGACAAAAGGAAAAAGGGGGGGGGUCCAACUAAAUGUCCCCAUUCAAAUGCAUUGAUUGUCCCCAAAAAAGGGGAGUUGGACCCCCCCCUCUUCCUGUAUCCGCCACUGUACAAGGCAGUGAUUAUUUGUAAACAGUUGUAUAAGUAAUGGCAUAUCUCAUUCCCGUGUCCAUGGAUAUUGGUAUUGCAUUGCAUCUUCAGUUUAAUUACGUUGAAAGUUUUGCAUAGUUUACAUGAACAAGUGUUGUCAUUAAAAAUUCAACAAUUGCAUUAUACUAUAAGUUACAUAACUAUAUGUCAACAUUAUAUUGCAUUUAAUUUAAAUAGAUAAGAUCUUCAAGUAUGUGGUAUUUGCCUCCUGGGUGCAAUCAUCAAUAACAGGUUAGAGCAAUAUUUUAACAAAUAACAUAGUGAAUAUCCCUGAUAUUCCGAUAGAAUUGCAUUCAAUAUGGCUCCAUACAUCUCUGAUUAUUGAUAACAUUAAUUACGAAAAAUGUACUGUUUCAAAAAUAAUUCGUAAAACGGAUUUCAAAUAAAUUCAUAUACACAUUAUACACGAAGGCAUAUCACAGCAACUGCUGAUUACUGACUUUUCCCUAACUAAAAUCCGCGAAAUUGAGUCGGGAGAUUUAUUAGAUUUGACGCAUUAUUCAGUACAGAUAAAUGCAUGUGUAGUGGACACACCUUCCAGACAGCAACCAAGCAUCAAAACAACCAAAUAACAUGUUUCUGGGAAGUAAUACAUCUAUCACAUGAUCAAUAUUUGUGUCUGUUUUUGAUCAAUAACCCGAGUCUUUUACAAUGUAAAUUCGACCAUUUUUGCAUUUCCAACCACAUGAUUUCAUUUAGGAUUUAGAAUUAAUUCCCUAGUUUGUACCUUAUUCUCUAUUUCCGCCGCAGUGGAGGGGACAUACAGUGUUACCCUUAUGUGUGUGUGUCAGUGCGUCUGUAUUUCUGUACAUACUUCUGAUCCAAAAUUCUCUCACUUUAGCCAAAUG
rnacentral:lncRNA from 1 species